rnacentral:lncRNA from 1 species
CCCAGGUGCAGCUGGUGCAGUCUGGCCAUGAGGUGAAGCAGCCUGGGGCCUCAGUGAAGGUCUCCUGCAAGGCUUCUGGUUACACUUGAAUCCAGCCGAUUUUUGCUGGGCGCAGUGGCUCACGCCUGUAAUCUCAGCACUUUGGGAGGGUGAGGUAGGCGGAGGCUCCAGUUCCAGCCCUUUGGGAGGCCGAGGCGGGCAGAUCACCUGAGGUCUGGAGUUCCAC